rnacentral:rRNA from 1 species
CCCUUAGAUGUUCUGGGCCGCACGCGUGCUACACUGAGUGGAUCAGCGGGUCAGGUUGCGCGAAAGUGUUUCCUAAUCUUUAAAUCCGCUCGUGAUGGGGAUUGACGGUUGCAAUUUUCCGUCAUGAACGAGGAAUACCUUGUAAGCGCGGGUCAUCAUCCCGCGCUGAAUACGUCCCUGCCCUUUGUACACACCGCCCGUCGCUCCUACCGAUUGAGUGGUCCGGUGAGGCUUUGGGAUCUGAGCGGAAAGAGCGUUUCGCUGUUUCUGCCCGGAAAACUCAGUCGAACCUUAUCAUUUAGAGGAAGGAGAAUUCGUAACA